UGGGGAAUAUUGCACAAUGGAGGGAACUCUGAUGCAGCGACGCCGCGUGAACGAAGAAGGCUUUCGAGUCGUAAAGUUCUUUUAUAUGGGAAGAUAAUGACGGUACCAUAAGAAGAAGCCCCGGCUAACUACGUGCCAGCAGCCGCGGUAAUACGUAGGGGGCUAGCGUUGUCCGGAAUCACUGGGCGUAAAGGGUUCGCAGGCGGAAAUGCAAGUCAGGUGUAAAAGGCAGUAGCUUAACUACUAUAAGCAUUUGAAACUGCAUAUCUUGAGAAGAGUAGAGGUAAGUGGAAUUUUUAGUGUAGCGGUGAAAUGCGUAGAUAUUAAAAAGAAUACCGGUGGCGAAGGCGACUUACUGGGCUCAUUCUGACGCUGAGGAACGAAAGAGUGGGUAGCAAACAGG
rnacentral:rRNA from 1 species